AUCGCGGCACUGCACUCCAGCCUGGGUGCUAGGGUGAGACUCCAUCUCAGAAAAAAAAAAAAAAAAAAAAAUUAAAGCAUUAUCAUUUACUGACAGUCACUGAUGACUCCGGUGGUGACAGGUUAGCUUAGUUCACACAUUUCAUAGAUGAUUAAAGUUAAUGAGUGAAGUGUGAGCAGGACUCUACUUAAUGAAUGUGCUAAUUGUUUUCCUUGCUGCAAAUGUUAGUGUUGCUUUUAACCACAAUAUACAGAAGAUUAGGAGCCAAUUCAUUAUAUGUUAUUUAAUGAGUUAUAUUUAUACUAUAUAAUGGCAUUGUUAAAUUCACACAGUACCCUGCUUAAUAUUCAAAGCACUUUACUAGAGCAC
rnacentral:lncRNA from 10 species